CCUACGGGAGGCAGCAGUGGGGAAUAUUGGACAAUGGGCGCAAGCCUGAUCCAGCAAUGCCGCGUGAGUGAUGAAGGCCUUAGGGUCGUAAAGCUCUUUUACCAGGGAUGAUAAUGACAGUACCUGGAGAAUAAGCUCCGGCUAACUCCGUGCCAGCAGCCGCGGUAAUACGGAGGGAGCUAGCGUUGUUCGGAAUUACUGGGCGUAAAGCGUACGUAGGCGGUUAUUCAAGUCAGAGGUGAAAGCCCGGGGCUCAACCCCGGAACGGCCUUUGAAACUAGGUAGCUAGAAUCUUGGAGAGGUCAGUGGAAUUCCGAGUGUAGAGGUGAAAUUCGUAGAUAUUCGGAAGAACACCAGUGGCGAAGGCGACUGACUGGACAAGUAUUGACGCUGAGGUACGAAAGCGUGGGGAGCAAACAGGAUUAGAUACCCUGGUAAGUCCACGCCGUAAACGAUGAUAACUAGCUGUCCGGGCACUUGGUGCCUGGGUGCGCAGCUAACGCAUUAAGUUAUCCGCCUGGGGAUACGGUCGCAAGNUUAAAACUCAAAUGAAUUGACGG
rnacentral:rRNA from 1 species